rnacentral:rRNA from 1 species
CCCUUAGAUGUUCUGGGCCGCACGCGUGCUACACUGAGUGGAUCAGCUGGUCAGGUUGCGCGAAAGCGUUUCCUAAUCUUUAAAUCCGCUCGUGAUGGGGAUUGACGGUUGCAAUUUUCUGUCAUGAACGAGGAAUACCUUGUAAGCGCGGGUCAUCAUCCCGCGCUGAAUACGUCCCUGCCCUUUGUACACACCGCCCGUCGCUCCUACCGAUUGAGUGGUCCGGUGAGGCUUUGGGAUCUGAGCGGAAAGAGCGUUUCGCUGUUUCUGCUCGGAAAACUCAGUCGAACCUUAUCAUUUAGAGGAAGGAGAAGUCGUAACA